rnacentral:rRNA from 1 species
AACUAUGUGCCAGCAGCUGCGGUAAUACAUAGGUCGCGAGCGUUAUUCGGAUUUAUUGGGCGUAAAGCAAGCGCAGGCGGAUUGAUAAGUUCUGUGUUAAAAGCAGCUGCUCAACAGUUGUUUGCACCGAAUACUGUCAGUCUAGAAUGUGGUAGGGAGUUUCGGAAUUAAAUAUGGAGCGGUGGAAUGUGUAGAUAUAUUUAAGAACACCAGAAGCGAAGGCGGAAACUCAGGCCAUUAUUGACGCUUAGGCUUGAAAGUGUGGGGAGCAAAUGGGAUUAGAUACCCCAGUAGUCCACACCGUAAACGAUGGGUAUUAGAUGUCGGGUUUUAAUUCUCGGCGUUGUAGCUUACGUGUUAAAUACCCCGCCUGGGUAGUACAUAUGCAAAUAUGAAACUCAAAGGAAUUGACGGGGACCUGAACAAGUGGUGGAACAUGUUGCUUAAUUCGAUAAUACACGAAAAACCUUACCAAGGUUUGACAUCCCCCGCAAAGCCAUGGAAACAUGGUGGAGGUUAUCGGGGUGACAGGUGGUGCAUGGUUGUCGUCAGCUCGUGUCAUGAGAUGUUUGGUUAAGUCCCGCAACGAGCGCAACCCUACUCCUUAGUUACCUUUUCUAGGGAGACUGAACAGUAAUGUAUAGGAAGGUUGGGAUCACGUCAAAUCAUCAUGCCCCUUAUGCCUUGGGCUGCAAACGUGUUACAAUGGCGAGUACAAUGUGUCGCAAGCUAGCGAUAGCAAGCCAAUCACCUAAAACUCGUCUCAGUUCGGAUAGGAGGCUGCAAUUCGCCUCCUUGAAGUUGGAAUCACUAGUAAUCCCGUGUCAGCUAUAUCGGGGUGAAUACGUUCCCAGGUCUUGUACA